rnacentral:rRNA from 1 species
CCUACGGGAGGCAGCAGCAAGGAAUUUUGCGCAAUGGGCGAAAGCCUGACGCAGCAACGCCGCGUGAGGGAUGAAGGCCUUCGGGUUGUAAACCUCUUUUCUCAGGGAAGAAAAAUGACGGUACCUGAGGAAUAAGCCACGGCUAACUACGUGCCAGCAGCUGCGGUAAUACGUAGGUGGCAAGCGUUAUCCGGAUUCACUGGGCGUAAAGAGCGCGUAGGUGGUUCUGUAAGUCAGGUGUGAAAUUCCCCGGCUUAACCAGGGAAAGCCAUCUGAUACUGCUGGACUUGAGGGCGGUAGAGGGAGGUGGAAUUCCCGGUGUAGGGGUGAAAUGCGUAGAUAUCGGGAGGACCACCAGUGGCGAGGGCGGCCUCCUGGGCCGUUCCUGACACUGAGGCGCGAAAGCGUGGGGAGCGAACAGGAUUAGAUACCCCGGUAGU